rnacentral:rRNA from 1 species
CCUACGGGGGGCAGCAGUGAGGAAUAUUGGUCAAUGGACGCAAGUCUGAACCAGCCAUGCCGCGUGCAGGAAGACGGCUCUAUGAGUUGUAAACCGCUUUUGUACGAGGGUAAACGCAGAUACGUGUAUCUGUCUGAAAGUAUCCUACGAAUAAGGAUCGGCUAACUCCGUGCCAGCAGCCGCGGUAAUACGGAGGAUUCAAGCGUUAUCCGGAUUUAUUGGGUUUAAAGGGUGCGUAGGCGGUAGGAUAAGUUAGAGGUGAAAUCCCGAGGCUCAACUUCGGAAUUGCCUCUGAUACUGUUCGGCUAGAGAGUAGUUGCGGUAGGCGGAAUGUAUGGUGUAGCGGUGAAAUGCUUAGAGAUCAUACAGAACACCGAUUGCGAAGGCAGCUUACCAAGCUACUUCUGACGUUGAGGCACGAAAGCGUGGGGAGCGAACAGGAUUAGAUACCCGGGUAGUC